rnacentral:rRNA from 1 species
ACGGGUGAGUAACACGUAUCCAACCUGCCGUCUACUCUUGGCCAGCCUUCUGAAAGGAAGAUUAAUCCAGGAUGGCAUCAUGAGUUCACAUGUCCGCAUGAUUAAAGGUAUUUUCCGGUAGACGAUGGGGAUGCGUUCCAUUAGAUAGUAGGCGGGGUAACGGCCCACCAAGACUACGAUGGAUAGGGGUUCUGAGAGGAAGGUCCCCCACAUUGGAACUGAGACACGGUCCAA